GGCUCUAUGAUUACGUGCCUAGUGGGCCAUAUACGCUAUUCUGAUUCAUUAUAUGAGUAGAAAAUUUACAUUUACAAUGAGAGCU